CAUGAGCUCCAUGGACGAGAAAGAGCUGACUCAGCAACCACCCACUGCCACCAACUGUCCCUACACUGAACUAGUCAAAAUCUUUGAGGAAGUCUCAAGAGGAGGCUGGGCCUAACUUCUUCUUUGAUCAGAGAGCUCUUGAUUCAGCUCAUCGCAAACAGAAGAGACAACAGGACGGAGGACCCCCAGAAAAGAGACGACCCCCUUCCCAGCCCAGGGGGCCGUGCUGGUUCUGUCUGGGUGGCAAGGAGGUGGAGAAACAUCUCGUGGUCUCCAUCGGAGAUAAUACGUACCUGGCUUUAUCCAAGGGUGGGAUGGUACCAGAGCAUGUGCUGGUCCUACCCAUCGGUCACUAUGCAGCCUCCACUGACGCACCACCAGUGAGUUC